AUCAAAGCAUUGCACCAUCACCAGCAUAACGGUUUCUGAAAAUGAAGUUGAGUGAUGUUGGGUUGUUCUUAAUAGUUCUUUUUACACUUGUCCUGAUUACAUCCGGAGGAAGAAACCUCCUUCAGAGCUCUCCACAACACCAAGUUAUCAACCCACGAGGAUCCAUGUUUCAACCAAAAAACCAACCAAAAGAUAGGGCCGGUUGUUGGGAGUGCUGGGAGGAUGAGCCAAAUGAUUGAGUUAACCCAUUACCCAUGUAUGUAAAUAUAAUUACGACAUAUGAUUGGAUUGAGUCAUCAAUAGCAACUAUGCUAGUAUGAAUAAAAGGUGAAAUAUUGUUAUUUAUGUUGUAUGCAGUAUUUGUUAUGAAGUGUAUGUAAUAUUGUGAUAA